rnacentral:tRNA from 1 species
UUAAUUGAAGCCAAAAAGAGGCGUAUCACUGUUAAUGAUAUAAUUGAGAUACCAUCACUCCAAUUAAG